AUUGAGCGCUGGCGGCAUGCUUUACACAUGCAAGUCGAACGGCAGCGGGGGCUUCGGCCUGCCGGCGAGUGGCGAACGGGUGAGUAAUGCAUCGGAACGUGCCCAUGUCGUGGGGGAUAACUACGCGAAAGCGUGGCUAAUACCGCAUACGCCCUGAGGGGGAAAGCGGGGGAUCUUUCGGGACCUCGCGCGAUUGGAGCGGCCGAUGUCGGAUUAGCUAGUUGGUGGGGUAAAGGCUCACCAAGGCGACGAUCCGUAGCUGGUCUGAGAGGAUGAUCAGCCACACUGGGACUGAGACACGGCCCAGACUCCUACGGGAGGCAGCAGUGGGGAAUUUUGGACAAUGGGCGCAAGCCUGAUCCAGCCAUGCCGCGUGAGUGAAGAAGGCCUUCGGGUUGUAAAGCUCUUUCGGCCGGGAAGAAAUCGCAUUCUCUAAUAUAGGAUGUGGAUGACGGUACCGGACUAAGAAGCACCGGCUAACUACGUGCCAGCCGCCGCGGUAACAC
rnacentral:rRNA from 1 species